GCUUACGGCCACACCGCCUGGUUCACGCUUGAUCUCGGAAGCUAAGAUAGGUUGGGGCCUGGUUGGUACUUGGAUGGGAGACCGCCUGGGAAUACCAGGUGCUGUAAGCU
rnacentral:rRNA from 1 species